rnacentral:tRNA from 1 species
GGGCCGUUAGCUCAGUUGGUAGAGCAGCUGACUCUUAAUCAGCGGGUCACAGGUUCAAGCCCUGUACGGCUCACCA